GCCGCCGCCCCCUCAUGGACUGUGUGACGGUCUGAUGUUCAUAUUCCUGAAAACAACAGUUCUGUCCCGUUGUCUUUGAAUCCACUGAUGUUUGUAGACAUUUGGAAACGGAUCCACUCUGAAUACCCAGAAUACGACUUCUGUUCAGCAGAUGAGACAGCUAAUGAAUUAAGAGACGCCCUUCUGGAAAUCAAGGAAUUGAUUUUGAGUUCACAGCGAGAUGCCCCGGCAGCCUUCUCAGUUAAUCGAGUUCGUUCAGGAGGCCGUGGCAGACCAGCCAUUGAUGUUUCAAGGCAGCAAAUACUGUUUUUGCUGAAACAAGGAUACACUGUCAAGCAAAUGGCUGGCAUGUUUGGUUGCUCCUCAUCGUUUCUUUACAAGAAAACAAAGCUGCUUGGAGUGUGUGUUCGAAGAGGACAUCUACCAGUGACAGACGAAGAGCUCAUCCAACACAUCACAAGACUUCAUGAGCUUUAUCCUAAUACAGGAAGUGAGAUGAUGAGAGGAUUCCUCCGAGCUGAGGGGCUGUUUAUUCCACGGCAUAGGGUACGAGACGCAUUGACCCAGAUAAAUCCUGGUGCAGCUGCACGCAGGUGGAGCAGUGCUGUGACCAGAAGGGUGUACCAUGUUCCCCAUCCCAAUAGUUUAUGGCACAUAGAUGGAAACAUGUGACUCAUAAGGUGGGGUUUGGUGGUCCAUGGAGCCAUUGAUGGACACUCUCGACUGAUCACAUACUUGAAUUGCAACACAAAUAAUCGCGCCUCCACUGUACUGACAC
rnacentral:lncRNA from 1 species